rnacentral:rRNA from 1 species
UACCACCCUUUAAUGUUUGAUGUUCUAACGUUGACCCGUAAUCCGGGUUGCGGACAGUGUCUGGUGGGUAGUUUGACUGGGGCGGUCUCCUCCUAAAGAGUAACGGAGGAGCACGAAGGUUGGCUAAUCCUGGUCGGACAUCAGGAGGUUAGUGCAAUGGCAUAAGCCAGCUUGACUGCGAGCGUGACGGCGCGAGCAGGUGCGAAAGCAGGUCAUAGUGAUCCGGUGGUUCUGAAUGGAAGGGCCAUCGCUCAACGGAUAAAAGGUACUCCGGGGAUAACAGGCUGAUACCGCCCAAGAGUUCAUAUCGACGGCGGUGUUUGGCACCUCGAUGUCGGCUCAUCACAUCCUGGGGCUGAAGUAGGUCCCAAGGGUAUGGCUGUUCGCCAUUUAAAGUGGUACGCGAGCUGGGUUUAGAACGUCGUGAGACAGUUCGGUCCCUAUCUGCCGUGGGCGCUGGAGAACUGAGGGGGGCUGCUCCUAGUACGAGAG